rnacentral:rRNA from 1 species
CCUACGGGUGGCUGCAGUGGGGAAUAUUGGACAAUGGGCGAAAGCCUGAUCCAGCCAUGCCGCGUGUGUGAAGAAGGCCUUCGGGUUGUAAAGCACUUUCAGUGGGGAAGAAAGCCUUGGGGCUAAUACCCUCGAGGAAGGACAUCACCCACAGAAGAAGCACCGGCUAACUCCGUGCCAGUAGCCGCGGUAAUACGGAGGGUGCGAGCGUUAAUCGGAAUUACUGGGCGUAAAGCGCGCGUAGGCGGUCUGAUAAGCCGGUUGUGAAAGCCCCGGGCUCAACCUGGGAACGGCAUCCGGAACUGUCAGGCUAGAGUGCAGGAGAGGAAGGUAGAAUUCCCGGUGUAGCGGUGAAAUGCGUAGAGAUCGGGAGGAAUACCAGUGGCGAAGGCGGCCUUCUGGACUGACACUGACGCUGAGGUGCGAAAGCGUGGGUAGCAAACAGGAUUAGAUACCCGAGUAGUC